rnacentral:rRNA from 1 species
GAUCAUGGCUCAGGACGAACGCUGGCGGCGUGCUUAACACAUGCAAGUCGAACGAAGAGCGAUGGAAGCUUGCUUCUAUCAAUCUUAGUGGCGAACGGGUGAGUAACGCGUAAUCAACCUGCCCUUCAGAGGGGACGAACAGUUGGAACGAACUGCUAAUACCGCAUACGAUCCAAUCCCGGCCAUCGGGACGUGGAUGAAAGGUGGCCUCUAUUUAUAAGCUAUCACUGAAGGAGGGGAG